rnacentral:rRNA from 1 species
CCUGGAAACAGAUGCUAGUACCGGAUAACAACAGAUGAUGCCUAUCAACUGUUUAAAAGAUGGUUCUGCUAUCACUCUUGGAUGGACCUGCGGUGCAUUAGCUAGUUGGUAGGGUAACGGCCUACCAAGGCGAUGAUGCAUAGCCGAGUUGAGAGAAUGAUCGGCCACAUUGGGACUGAGACACGGCCCAAACUCCUACGGGAGGCAGCAGUC